rnacentral:lncRNA from 1 species
AACACAUGUUCACCCUGUCGGGCCUAGACCUGCGUUUUCAUAACUGCCUCGUGAGAGCAAUGUCGCAGAAUAUAGCUAGUAGCUAGUAUGUUGAUAAACUAAAUGCGGGUAACGAAAAGCCGAACAGUUCAUGGGAUGUACUCGAAUUGCGCAGGUAAUAUGGCUCCAAAAACGUUCUACCAUGGACGAACAUUGGUAGGUUUAUGCUGUUCGUGGCAACUUCAGUGUAUAACAUAACGCGCUUAAGUAUAAUGACAAUAUGAAACGCACUCACCGGUUUAAAAAGUGGAUCAAAUGUGGAUAGAAAACAGCCUUUUUCCAGGUUCUGAACGUCGGGACUUGGAAGCUUCGAUUUAUCCGAGAAAAUGUACCACGGGCAUUUUCGUGUACGGAAAAUUUUCCUUCUAUGUUGUCUCGAAGACCGUUGAAAUCAGAGUGAACUGAGAUAAAAUUUGGCUAGCUUUUGCUGAUAACUGAAGAAUGUCGGCUUAGCAAAAUGGGAUUAUAUUGACAAUUUGGCAUUGACAUGUGGCAGGUGUUGCCCGGAGAGCAAGGCGGUUGUUUUCUUUGCUUAUCGUUUCCGUUUAGUUUUCGGUAUGGAUGUUGCCUCUUAUUAAUCCUAAUUUAUUUUUUAAAAUAAAU